UACGUAGGGUGCAAGCGUUGUCCGGAAUUAUUGGGCGUAAAGAGCUUGUAGGCGGUUUGUCGCGUCUGCUGUGAAAUUUCGGGGCUCAACCCCGAACUUGCAGUGGGUACGGGCAGGCUAGAGUUCGGUAGGGGAGACUGGAAUUCCUGGUGUAGCGGUGAAAUGCGCAGAUAUCAGGAGGAACACCCGUAGCGAAGGCGGCACUCUGGGCCGGAACUGACGCUGAGGAGCGAAAGCGUGGGGAGCAAACAGG
rnacentral:rRNA from 1 species